AGGUGGAAUAGAGAGCAGCUAGUGAAGCACAUGGAGUUAUAAACAAAGAAUUGGAUGCUAAGUAUCUGCAGGGGCCAAGGUGACACCCUAGCUAUGCCAAGUUCAACUCGACAUACCCCACAAAAUGCACCAUUCUCAGUCAAAAAACCUUGACAUAUGGAAGCCAACCCACAAAAAUAAUUGGAGAUUCAGUAACUAUCGUCACCCAAGGAAGGAGAGAGAAGGCAAAUCCCAUGAUUUUAGAGCAAAUUACGGUGUGUCGGGGCAAUAUACUGACCACCCCUCAAAGCCAACGACGAAGAUUGGCGUCCAAAAUCCUGGAGUGGCCUAUUUGGAGAGGGCACAUGGCCUCACAUGCUUUCCUUUGCCUUUCC
rnacentral:lncRNA from 1 species